AUUGAACGCUGGCGGCAGGCCUAACACAUGCAAGUCGAACGGUAACACGAGGCUGCUUGCUGCUUCGCUGGCGGGAGGCGGGCGGGAGAGAAAGGUACGUGAAGCUGCCUGGUGGAGGGGGCUAACUACUGGAGACGGUAGCUACUACCGCACAAUGUCGGAAAACCAGGGAGGGUGAGCUUCGGGCCUCUUGCCAUCGGCUGUGGCCAGAUGGGAUUAGCUUGUUGGUGGGGUAAAGGCUCACCAAGGCGACGAUCCCUAGCUGGUCUGAGAGGAUGACCAGCCACACUGGAACUGAGACACGGCCCAGACUCCUACGGGAGGCAGCAGUGGGGAAUAUUGGACAAUGGGCGAAAGCCUGAUGCAGCAAUGCCGCGUGUAUGAAGAAGGCCUUCGGGUUGUAAAGUACUUUCAGCGGGGAGGAAGGGAAUAAUGCUAAUACCUCGGCUCAUUGACGUUACCCGCAGAAGAAGCACCGGCUAACUCCGUG
rnacentral:rRNA from 1 species